GCAUCUUGGUCGGCCACAAUCAUCAUGAAUUCGCAGCAUCAAGGUGAACGGAAUAGUGGCACGCUGGUAUUGAUACAAAGACUGCCUGAGAUAUUUUUGGUUUCAUGUCAGGUUGUCCUUGGGUCAGUUGUGAGUUUUGUUGCAUUUAAUGGAGCCUCUCCACUUGAUCACACCCCAAGGUACCACGGUGGUACACAGUCCUCAUAGGUUUCUUUGACCCGAGCUCCUGAAGCAAGUACACUAUCGCGAUCUUGAGUCACUCAAGGUCAUUCCAUCACUUGUGGGGUGAAGAGCAGUACCAGCCUCAUAUCACGGAUUUAUCGUCCUUUGGGGAAUUGUUCCGGCACAAACUCAAAUGUCCCCAGCUAAUCAUGAAAGUAACACCUCACCCCCACUAAUACCAGUCAAUGAAGAAUUGUAUUCGAGCAUUGUGGUACCUGCUCGUCACUGGGUAACUCAGGAGCAGUAAGUAUCAACUUGUGGCAGUUAUUAACAUUUGAUGAAAAGCAUUCAGCGUCAACUUCACGCCGAUGACCGUGAUCCGGAGAGGAUGAGAAACCCAACCUUCAAGAAGAGUUCCGGUGCCAGAUUUCAGCUCUUGGGCUUGUUGCUGCAUGUUGAACUCGUAAGUUGCAACCUUGCUGUAAGAAAGAUGACCCUACGGUUGCGCUUUAUGGCAGUCUCUGAGCUCUUGAGGCCAUCACAUACAUACCUCAACUCAUUAGUUUGGUUUUCUUUGUUUUUGUCAUUUUGAUAAUUUUUAAUUUUGGUUUAAGAAGAGGGAUAGCUUAGUGCAUGGGGGAGAGAGUCAUACCACAUUGUUGUAGUUACGCGCUUUGGUAGCUUGAUGCUUUUUUGAAUCAUUCGUGUCCGGUGACAGCAACGUGGUAGUGCAACGUUUCCUUCCUUGAGAUCGUUCUUUCUGUUCACAACCACGUUGAAGUUAUCAGGAACGUCGUAUAGGGAAGUUGAUAAAGGUUACAAUGUUUUUGGAUGCCUCGGAAUGCCUGUACCUGUUUAGCAAAGGUAAUAAAACUUGCAAGAUGCUCUCCGAAAGUAUAAGCUGGAGGUGAGGAUGGGGAGACAAGUGAGAGCGCUUAUUCAUGUGCAGCAAGCGUGCCACAAUCUUUCACUUUUUGCUGACACAGGCGUUGCAACUUGCACACCAAGCUUCUCAGUCCGAAAUUUCGUCAAAUUUGCAACCGCCCAACCGCAAAGACCAGCUUCUGCUUCAGCAAGCGAUAGCCCUUCACGGAUCCAUUGAAGGACACAUUGAGAAUAGCUGUAGAACUGCGAAUAGAGUGGGAUUUCCGCAUCUACAUUUCCUUCUGCUCUUCAUGGUAGAUGAAUGGGCGCGGUAUGGGGUGGGCAGUGCUUGUAAUUGUAGCAACGAUGAUCCUCCUAAUCCCACUCAUGUCAAUCCUCCCCCUGCCUCCACCACCGUGGCUGCUCAUGCUGCUGCCGAUCCUUGUCUUCGGGGCGCUCGUAGCGCAAGCCCUGUUUCACGCUGAAGUCCACAAUGUCAAUGUUCCGAGGAAACAAUUGGAGUCUAUUUUAUGAGUUUGGAGAGACUCUUACGAACUGCAACCAAGGUCACGGAAGCAUCAACGACCCAAUUUUAUUUGGUGCUGGUAUUCUGAAGAGCGGUUCAGCUUGUUGAGACCAUGUGCACAGUAGAGCAGUUUGGCAUUAAAUUGGGUAGCGAUUACCAUAUCAGAGAAAUAAUGCCAAUGGCAAUGUUUUCAUUAAAAUGGCUCCGCGAAUUCGCACUUCAGGAUUCAAGAGUACUCACAAGAGCUCCUUUCUGAAAUAGACCUUGGAGGAUCAGCCAAUUUUUCUUUUUGCCUGUUACUGAUUUGAAUGAGAUGAAUCUCAAUGACUUGUUGCCGUGCCUGACCGCUGUUCAUUUUCAUUUCUGACUCAUUCUAGAACUCUCACCUGAAGGAUAGCGGCUGGUGAAAGCAUGAAGAUAGAAUCAAUAGCUAUAGCGUACUAGUUCUUAGCACUUCUCAAUUUGAGAUUGUAUUAGCUAAUAAGCUGUUUCGUCUAUCGAGGCUCCUUCAUUCGGGAAGCUGCCUAACAGUGCAACGACUAGAGGAACACAUUUCCAUGAAAUGCCGUCACGACACACGGCAGAAAAUCAGCGAAAAUGAUCUUUAGGCCUUUUCCACCGAUCACAGGUCUCUUCGAAGGGUACCGAGCAUGUUGUGGAGAAUGUUCGUUGGCCAGCAGCGAAUGGUGUUUCCCCACUUCAUUCGGACCACUUGUCAUGAGCUGCAGGUCCGUCACCCUCUGAUAGGAUCUUUCUCCUCGCCAUCCUUGUAACUACUGCCCACUGUGGCAUUCCAGGCUGAGACACGGACAAAUCAUUUGCCACUUUCGUUAUGCGGGUCAUGGCUGAUGGGAGCAAUGUCGAGAGAAUCAAAAACAGAUAUCAUAACUACAAUACUUGUUGCGAUCGAGAAUGUGGAUUUGGAGACAUGGUUGAUGAUGACACAGGGAUUUCCUGUUGAUGCUGUGGUGACGCGUCCUGCCGGAAAUCUCCGAGAAUUCUCGGAGAUUGGUGGGGAAGCAUUUGCGUUGCCGUUCGACGCCACGAGCAUCAUCACAGUUGGGUCCCGGUACGAGACGCAGAGUCCCGUGGUGGAGCAUCUCCACCCUCAACUCACAAUACAAGACGGAACCACCGAAGAUGCCCAGAUGGCGAGACGCUUGUUGCGUUGUCUCGACGGUUUCAUUGAUAAGGAUGCGAUGACGCCCUAUGUAUCAACUGCAUGCCAGCCCACUCGGAAUUUGUGUGAUAAUGGAGCCGCUCUCUCUGCAUCGCGGACCUCGUUCAUGGCAGUUGUGGGGAUUCUGCAGUUUAAGAGCUGGGUUUGCAAGUUUUUGGCUACCGUGUGGGAGUAGCUGUGUCAAAGAAUAGGAAGGGGAGUGGACGAGCAUCUGAGUUCUCUAAGGAUGCCGUCUUUGUGCCAGAGACCAUCGCGAAAGCCCUUAGUUCCUUAGCAAAAUUGGGAGGCCCAAAUUUUCUGAUUAAGACUUGGGUAGUGAUUUGCGAAUUUCCAGCGAAAAUUGUGGGAUUUGACGCCUUCUAUACCAUCUUUUACAAAGCUCUAGAGUGAAAGACAUUCUGAUUAGCAGGUGCUGCUCUACCCAGUGUGCAUACUCAUUCGAUGUGAAAUGAAUCGCGACGUUUACAGCAUGAAUAGAAGCAAUCACCAAAUACACAAUUUCUUUAAUAGUACCCUUUUGCCUUGAUUUUGGAAGAUGGAAGAAAAUGAAGCCCAAUUCAAAGUGCUGAAGAACGAAUCAGACAGACAGGCAGAUGAGAGAGUUAGCGACUAGAGAAGCAGGAUAAACUAGUAGAGAUAGGAAAUUUGCCAACUCCGCUUCGAAUCAUGGAGAGGAGGGCGUUAAACGAAUCAAUAUCGACCUGAUCAUCAAUCACAUCGGCGUUAUCAACCACGUGUCACCCAGUUCGAGGUUUAGAGAGUAUGAACUCCCCUUGGCCCAGCAUGUUGAAAACCUCGAACUGGGUGAAUCUUUUGCAUGUGUUGAAAACUAAAUUGACCCUUUCAUCAUAACCGUCAUCAAAAAAUUCUCCACUAUUGAAUUUGUAAUGGUCAAAAAUCAAUGAAAAAAUGGUUGGAUUUUCAACCAAUAAUAA